rnacentral:snoRNA from 1 species
UUCUGGAGCCAGACUACCUGGGUUUGAAUCCCAACUCUAUCCGUAUUUUGUGUGGCUCGGGGCAAGUUACUUUAACUUCUCUAUGCCUCAGUUUCCUCAUCUGAAAAGUGGGGAUAAUACUAUCUACCCUAGUGGGUUGUAAGCAGAUAGU